rnacentral:rRNA from 2 species
UAUAAUGGGUCAGCGACUUAUAUUCUGUAGCAAGGUUAACCGUAUAGGGGAGCCGCAGGGAAACCGAGUCUUAACUGGGCGUUAAGUUGCAGGGUAUAGACCCGAAACCCGGUGAUCUAGCCAUGGGCAGGUUGAAGGUUGGGUAACACUAACUGGAGGACCGAACCGACUAAUGUUGAAAAAUUAGCGGAUGACUUGUGGCUGGGGGUGAAAGGCCAAUCAAACCGGGAGAUAGCUGGUUCUCCCCGAAAGCUAUUUAGGUAGCGCCUCGUGAACUCAUCUUCGGGGGUAGAGCACUGUUUCGGCUAGGGGGUCAUCCCGACUUACCAACCCGAUGCAAACUACGAAUACCGAAGAAUGUUAUCACGGGAGACACACGGCGGGUGCUAACGUCCGUCGUGAAGAGGGAAACAACCCAGACCGCCAGCUAAGGUCCCAAAGUCAUGGUUAAGUGGGAAACGAUGUGGGAAGGCACAGACAGCCAGGAUGUUGGCUUAGAAGCAGCCAUCAUUUAAAGAAAGCGUAAUAGCUCACUGGUCGAGUCGGCCUGCGCGGAAGAUGUAACGGGGCUAAACCAUGCA